rnacentral:tRNA from 1 species
GAGCCGGUAGCUCAGCCUGGUAGAGCACCUGACUUUUAAUCAGGUGGUCGCGAGUUCAAAACGGAACUCUCCUUUGGCGAUAUCGGAGGUCCGUGAACGUCUCGUCCGGCUCA